GGUUUAAUCUGCCCAUUGAGUAUUAAAAGGCCGCAGUAAUUUGACUGUGCAAAGGUAGCAUAAUCAAUAGUUUUUUAAUUGAGAGCUAGAAUGAAUGAUUGGACGAAAAAAUAUCUUUAUUAAUAUUAAAUAAUUAGAAUUUAAUUUUUAAGUUAAAAAGCUUAAAUGAUAAUAAAAGACAAGAAGACCCUAUAGAGUUUAAUAAUUUAUUAAUUAUUAUUUUUUAGUUUAUUUUUGGUAAUUUAAAAUAAUUAUUUAAUUGGGGUGAUUUAAAAAUUUAAAAAACUUUUUAUGAUUUGAACAAUAAUAUUUGAUUAAUUGAUCCUGAUUAAGAUUAAAGAUUAAAUUACCUUAGGGAUAACAGCGUAAUUUUUUUGAAGAGUUCAUAUCGAUAAAUAAGAUUGCGACCUCGAUGUUGGAUUAAGAUAUAAUUUUAAUGUAGAAGUUAAAAAUUUAAGUCUGUUCGACUUUUUAAAUCUUACAUGAUC
rnacentral:rRNA from 1 species